UAUCUCUUUGUUUCCAUUUCUUCUUCACUUCGCCGGAGAGGGUUUUCUUUUCUUCGACGAGCUUCUUCGGCGAAUCAUCACUUCUAUCCUAUUUCUCUCAUUCUCCUGAGCUUGCGGACUUAAGUCCAACACUGCAGUAUGGGGUUCCACGGUCCGGCCUGAUGGGAGGCGGCGUGGUCAACCCUGAGUUUACCCUGGUCAAGAGGUGCGCGGAGCCAUUGACGGGGGUCUUUUAUGUGAGAAACCUGGGGUCACCACACGGGGACUCAGUGGCCAACACAAAGGAAGGCAACAUUUGUGAAUUUUAAAAGUCUUAAAACACCUUGGUGGUCCCGUAGCUAGUCCCGGCCACGAUUAGCUUGGAAAUUGUUUAAGGCCAGCCUGUAUUUUGAGUGGUGCUCAAUGUGUUGGAAAAUGUUACUUACCUGUACUAUUUAUGAACCAUUGUGUUAUCUGUUAACUUGUCGAAUACUUAGAACUACUUUUAUAUGUUAUUUUUAUUAUGGUUA